UUCCCCGAUUGCCGAUUGGGUGAAACCCUAGCCACCACUCCCCGUCGCGCCCCUCUCCUCCACUCCCCAUCGCGCCCCCUCUCCUCCAAUCCCCGCAGCCGACGACGAGGUCUCGCCCUUCGCCGAGCUUGCCACCACCGCUGCUCUCCCCUCGCCAUCGCCGGGAGGAGUGUGUAGGCCGCCGCUUGCGUCGUUUCUCCGCAGCCGCCACCGCCCCCUUCCCUUCCAAGCCUGCGGAGAUGACGGCGCCGGCGCUGGCGCUCGCGGUGGUCGGGUACUGGGACUGAGUCGCCGCCGCCACAUCAUCUUCUCCUCCUCCCCAACACCGCAUGAGUGCGGGUCGCCGUCGCACCAGAUGAGGUGGGGCUACAACCACGCCCCCUUCACCUCUUCUACCCAGCCGUGCCACUCGGGACGACAAGAUCCAGCCAUGGCGGCCGAGAUCCAGUUGGCUGCCAUCGAUAUGAGGAGCGCUCGCGCCGCUGCUCCGCCGUUCGUCGUCCACUUGGCCGCAACCAUGCACAAGAAGAGGUGAUGUCACGGCAGCAGGGUCCUCACCUGUCUCCGCUCCCUCGUCUCCCCCUUCUGCUGGCAAGGGUGCUGAGCAGCAACAGUUCCAUCUCCCUCCCCAACGCGUCAUUGCCUCAUCUUGAGCUGCAAUGAACCAGAGCCCAGAGAAAGAGAAUUGAUGUGAUGAUUGAGGUAGAAGGCAUGGAUUGUUUGGGGCUUCUCUGAAAUAAGCGUCUCUAAUGCAGGAAAACAACAUGAAUGAGCUUAAGAGAUUUAAUGAAGAGAUGAAUACAGUCGGAGCCUGGGAUUUUUAUACACAGAGAUGGUGCAUAAAUAAGCAAAACAAAAAAUGCGCCAAUGCUUUGCCAGAAUUUCGUUGGUCCUCUCAAAAUUGUGGGGAAACCAAGAUUGAAUUUAGAGAUGUUUCAUAUGCUUGGCCGUUGACACACCUCUCUUCAAGGCAAGGUCAUUUCCAAGGUGAUUACAGCGCUAGGACCUGCCCCUGAUAAGAACCAGGGCACCCGUUUAAACAGAAUGAUGACUGUGUGAGGCUUAAAAUAUCGCCAUCAUAGCAGGGGUGAUGCUGUCACUUCCAUGGUCCACCAGAAUGAAGAUCGCACUCAGUGCUGCAAGGGGGCUUGCCUUCCUGCACGAAGCUGAGAAGCCAGUUGUCUACAUGGAUUCAAGACAUCCAACAUAUUGCUCGACGAGGAAAACAACAUGAAUGAGAUUAAGAGAUUUAAUGAAGAGAUAUGCCAGGAUGAGGCGGAGUUGAUGAAAGGCUUUGUAAAAGUCAGAUAAUUGGUUGAACUUCUUUUGGAAGAGGCAGCAGGAAGCAUAGAAGACAUGGUGCCAUGGAGAUUCAAAGUACGGAAAGAUGGAAGAGUGUCCCGGACAAAAGGACCAAGUUUUGGCGGCUGGGCAUCGGGAGUCCAGUUGGUUGGCUUCAGCCUUUGAGGUGUUGUCGGCUAGCGGCGCCGCUUCUGAGUGUCUCCUCAACUCACUCCUGUGGCACCUUUGGUCGGUUCGUGUGAAGUGCCACCUGUGAAGUUGAUCGACAAGGCAGUUGAAUGAAGCCACUUAUUAGCACCUUGCUUGCUCUUCUUUCUUUUUGGAGCCAAAAGAUCCAUCAGCGCUCCACUGCUGGGCAAGGCUAUCUCGGUCAUCUUCCGUCUGAUACAUAGGUCAAACCAGGGCUCACACACUCUCUCGCCGAUAUUUCACUUCGCUCCCGUGAAUACAUUGUCUUCUACGCACGGCGGUGCUGCCUUGGAUCGGCCCUCCAUCGCGCCGCUUCGGUCGUCACCAUGCAUCUCAGCUCCAAUAACCAGGUCACGAUGGCUGAUGAUGAGCUCCAGGCUCCGCUGGCUCCACCAACAGCUGUCUGCGAGCACUUGCACAGAACAGUUCUUGACAGCCUCCUAGCACACCUUGGGCGCGCUAUUAGAUGGGGCCUCUCCUAAUUCACAACUGCUCCUAUGCCUAUCAAGGUGAUUUCGUCUUGCUGUACAUGUAUUGCACUUCCAGGAUGCUUGAGUGCAGAAAUCAUUGUACUCCAUAUAUCUCACAAUUUGUUUGUAUCAGGUUCAUGUGAGGCAGAUGAAUUACGCCACAUGUUAGUAUGCUUAGUGAUUAUGGCUUUGUAGUUGGCUGUCCUUAUGUGUUCUCGCUUUUUGUAUUGAACUUUGUGUUGAAUGGCCGUAUUUUGCGGUUGGCUGAAUGCACCGAGCUUGAUCCUGUCUUAUAUUC